rnacentral:lncRNA from 10 species
CUUGGCAGGGCAACCCGCAUCAUUGUUCCAGCAUUGCAACAUUGUUCCACCCUCUUAAUCCAAAAGCAUUCUAGUGUGUUGGCUCCCAGCUCACGCCCUGACCGUGGACUGAUCCGGCCUGCCCUGAGGUUACCUUCCCUGCUCAUCAGGUGUGAGGACCUGGGCAAGUCACUGCACCUCUCUAGGCUUCAUUGUUCUCUCCUGGAAAAUGGGACCUGGCACCAGGACUUAAGCACAGGUUUGCGGUAAGCAUGUGGUGACCUAGUGAAAGGCGCGCUUACCAUCAUCCCUGGUAUGCUAAGCCCCUAGUACGUGUGGCUGUUUGAAUCAUCUGCUUCAUCAUCUUUUAAAGCAAUGUUGCUUCUAAUCCGCAUUUUGGUCCUAAAGGGCCCUUGACUUUCAGGAGGAUUUUUGUUGGCAUGGAUUUGUUUAAAUGAACGUAAUGCAACGGUGUCUUGGGUUUAUUCAGUUCUCUUUAUCUGGUUGGAACGCCAGUUUGCUCAGGGCAGGACUCUGUGGAACUCAUUCACCCAUGGGCCUUAAGCAUCUGGGACAGUGCUUGGAACAAACAGGAUCCCUGCUUGCUCUUUGGCUGCCUGAUAUUCUGAAUGGACUGAAGUAAAACAAAGUGAGAGAGAAGAAAAAAUACAUUCCACUUUGUAGCUGCUUAUUAUAAGAACAUGUGGAAAGAUGGGAAUACUUUGGAAUACUCUGCUUAAGAGGAAUUGGUAUGCAUUGUUAACUGUCAAACAACAGAGGAAGAAAUUGAGUCCAAAGAAGUUCGUCGAGUUUCCCAGGAUCAUACAUUUACUAAGUGAGAGAACUGAGAUUCAACCAUCAGCUCAGUGGUUUUAUGUUAAUAGCAAUGCAGAUUUCAAGAAGAAUAAAGGUGUUCAAUCGACAAUACAUUGUCAAACAUGUUUCCAUGUAAAAUCAACUGGGGUUUUACACUAGAGACAGAGGCCUUAGGUCUCAUUUAGGUUGUUUCAUUAGGACCUUCCAUAGCAUUUACUUAAACUACCCAAUAAAAAACAUUUACACAACUACAAUAGAGUUGUAUGUUUUUAUUAAAAUAUGUAUCAUAAAUUGAUUAACAUCUGUCAUAUAGAUUUAUACAACACAUUAAGUUUUAUAUUGCAAAUAUAAGAGGUUUUACUUUUGUCCCGGAAAAGUGGAUGUAGCUAUCCAGAGUACUCAUUAUAUCUUUCUAGACAAAUAUUCUCUUAAAAUAAUGAGUAUUUUAUUACUGUUUUAGAGCAAGAGAGAGCGAGAGAGAGAGACAGAGCAAUGUCAAAUUUGAACAUAGGACACUUUGGUGACUUUAGUAAUCCAGUAAUUUCUGAAAAAGAUACAUUAUAGAGUUACUGAAUUCCCAAUAUGGAUCCAAAGGAAAUAAUAUCAAAGCGAGAUUUCAUCGCAAUGUGCACGAUUAUAGAAUCUUUUUACCAUGUGUGCAAUACACUCAUCUCACAUUAUGCAUUCUGUGAGAUUUCAUCCCAUAGUAAACUUGUUGCCCCCACAAUUUAUAAAGACUAUGUCCUCUUAAAAUUACAUAUAUUGUCCAAAUACUUAGAGAUGUGAAGUAUGUAAUACUUUUUAUUAUGAAUGUUUAAAAGCUGAUUUAACAGAAGCCCAACAUUUAGAAUCUUUUCAGUAUUAAAAAUAAUAUAUCUGAUUUGUGCACUAUCCAGUAACAGACAAACCCUGUUACUUUAUGCAUUUGAAACAGUUUUGGAAAAUAGAGUUACAUAUUAUAUGACUUUCCAAAUUUCCAUUAGACAGAGGUAAAACUAUAUAUCGUUCUAUUGAUACAUUUCAUUCUUAGAAUCUAGACGGUUGCUAAGGCAUGUCAUCUUUUUUUUUUUUUUUUUUUUUUUUUUUUUUUAAUGAGGCUGGGCACAGUGGCUCAAGCCUGUAAUCCCAGAACUUUGGGAUGCUGAGAGGGGCAGAUCACCUGAGGUCAGGGAGUUUGAGACCAGCCUGGCCAACAUGGUGAAACCCCAUCUCUACUAAACAUAGGAAAAUUAGCCAGGCAUGGUGGCACACACCUGUAAUCCCAACUAUUUGGGAGGCUGAGGCAGGAGAAUCACUUGAACCCAGGAAGCGGAGGUUGCAGUAAACUGAGAAUGAGCCACUGCAUUCCAGCCUGGCAAUAGAGCAAGAUUCUGUCUCCAGCAAAAAAAUUAAAACAAUAAAAUGAAAGGAUUAUCUGGUGGAUAGGAUAUGGGAGAAAGAGAACGACAGAGAAGCCAGGGAUGACUUCAAACUUUUGGGUCUGAGAAAAUGAAGAAGGGCGCUGCCAUGAACUGAGGUUGAAAAGGCUGAGUGCGGAACAAGUUCAGAGGUCACAUGAAUGGCCCUUUGCAGGGCAUCUUAAAUGGAGAUGCUUAUUAGAUAUAUAAGCAGGAAUGUCAAGUAGGCAGUUGGAUACAUGAUUCUGGAGUUCAUCAGAGAUGUUUGGACUGGAAGAAUAGAACCAGGAGUUAUGUAAAGUCAAGAGCCUUGAUGGAAUCAGCGAGGGGCAAGGAUAAAAAGGAAAAAGAAGAAUACUUGGGUUAACAGGGAAACAAGCAGUCAAAUUGAUAAAGAGUAACUGGAGGUACCUUAGGGAGGAAGUUUGGGGAUGUGGAUGACGUUAGAUGCAGCAUUCAGAGAAGGGUGUCUGUGAAGCUGCCAGCCAUGCGGACAGUGAUCCAGGCAAAACCCAGUGAAGACAGAAAAAAAAAAAAAGCAAAGCAGCUGGAAAAGAGCUUUGUCCAAAACACUACAUAAUGCUCUCUUCUUCUUGAUCUCAUUAACAGCCUGAUUUUUCCUCCUGUGUAUUUUACCUUAGGAAUGCCCUUGUUCACUCUUUUACAAUAAAUGAUUCCUCUUGUGACCUUUCUGUCUUUCAGAAACUUCCACCUUGUCCAUGUAUGAGAUGCAUAUACAGAGAUCAUGGAAACAUCACACAGCAAAGUCUUUCUCCAGCAACUUGCUUUCAGAUACAAAGCGACACUCCAAUGUCAGAAAUCAUUUUAGAAAUUGCUUUUCCCUUUACAAAGCUCUGAACUUUGACUAAUUCCUCAAAGACACUUGUGUUUAUAUGGCUGUUUAUUUACUUAUUGUCCCUGGGUUGUUCAAUAGGUCUCUUGACAUCAUUCCUCCUAUCAUUUUGUAUCCUUUGACCAAUGUGCCCCCAAUACUUCCCAGCUCAACCAAGUCCAGCCUCCAGUAACCUCCCAUCUACUCCUUCUUUCUAUGUAUCAACUCUUUUAGGUCCCACGUACAAGUGAGAUCAUGCGGUAUCUGUGUUUCUGUACCUGGCUUAUUUCAUUUAGCAUAAUUAGGAUUUUAUUCUUUUUUUCAGCUGAAUGAUAUGCAAAUGUAUGUAUGUAUACACCCCCCCCACCCCCCCCACACACAGUUUCUUUACUCAUUCAUCUGAUAGAUAUUUAGGUUAAUUUCAUACCUUAACUAUGGUGAACGGUGCUGCAGUGAACAUGAGGUGCAGACUACCUUUCACAUAAUGAUUGUGUUUCCUUUGGAUGUAUUACCCAGCAGUGGGAUUGCUGGAUCAUAUGGUAGUUCUGUUUUUAAAGUUUUUCAGGAACCUCCAUACAGUUUUCCAUAGUGGCUAUACUAAUUUAUAUUACAACUAAGAGUGUACAAGAAAUUCCCUUUCCUCCACAUCUUCUCCAACACUUACCUGUUGCCUUUUUGAUAAUAGUUAUUCUGACAGAUAUGAGAUGAUACCUCAUUAUGGUUUAAGUUGCAUUUCCCUAAUGAUUAAUGAAGUUAAACAUUUUUUCAUCUAGCUUUUGGCCAUUUGUAUGUCUUAUUUUGAGAAGUGUCUAUUCAGAUCUUCUGUUUCAUUUUAAAUUAAGUUACUUGUUUUCUUAAUAUUGAGUCGUUCAGGUUCUGUACAUGUUUUAGUUAUUACCUCCUGGUCAGACAUGUGAUUUACAAAUAUGUUCUCUCUUUCUGUAGGUUGUCUCUUCACUCUGUUGAUCAUUUCCUUGGCUGUGCAGAAGCUUUUAAGUUUGAUGUAAUCUGAUUUGUCUAUUUUUGCUUUUGUUGCCUCUGCUUUUGCGUUCAUAUUCAAAUAAAUUAUUGCCCAGAUCAACAUCAUGUAUAGGGAUACUUACUAUUUCAAUGUAAACUUACCAAAAUCACAAAAAAUGUAUUGUUAGAAAGUAACUAUGCCACAUAAUGUUUCCACACAAGACUGUGCAACUUGUAUAAACUGUAUUACAUGAUGAAAAUCUCACAAUAGUGCUCAAAACCUCAGGUGUCUAUCUCAAAAGAAGACACAGUCAUUAGAUUGCCUUAUAAUUUGGAUUUUCCUUGAUUAAAAUUUCACAUUCACAUUUGUAUUUCCUUACCUCUGUAGAAAUAGCAUUAAAAGUAAUUCCCCAGGCAUCUGUGAUUGCUCUAGGAAUUUUUAUAUAAAACCUAUAUAUAUAUACACACACACACACACACACAUAUACAUAUAUAUGUGUGUGUCUAAAAAUAGUGUAUAUGUGACAUAGAAUUAUAUUUUGGAUAUAUUAAAUUGUCAUAUCUUUAUUCUUCAUUUUGUAGUCUAGGCAACUAAAUAACCACCAAAGUGACAAAAUAAGGGUACCUUUUCAUAACUUAGAAACCAAGGAAGAAUGACACAAUAUGCUAAUAAAAUUUUCUCCCAAUUUCAACUGGAACAAUUAAAUGAUAAAUUCCUAUGUAGAGAAAUGCAAUCAUCUAUAAUUUCUUCAUUUCAGGUCAGUUAAUAUGACCAUUUAAGCCUGUAUUUCCUAUUGCACUUCUCUUUUAGGUUGACAAAGAAAACAAAUCAGAAAUUCAACUAGCAGUUUUCCAAAAUAAAACAGUAAGGCUUAUUACCCUGACCUUAGCAGUUGGUACCCAAUUUAGUAUCUUUAUACUACGAUGGUUUUCUUGUAAAUGUUAUCCUUGGCCACAUCUAAAAUAACAAGUUUUUACUUAACAUUUAUUUUUUUCUAAAGAAAUUCAGUCUCUAGAAGGAAAUAAACCUGGCAGAAAUAGAAUUCCUACUUUUCUCCCUUAUGCUAGGCUCUAGAAAUACUGAGGAAAUCAUCCGCUUUCAGGACUGUUCUUGAAAGUGAUAACUUGCAUGCACUUGAGCCGCAUCUCCCCUUCCCAGCACACCUGAACCCCAGGUCCCACUGUUGAUCUCCCUCUUCAAAGCAGCUCUGUUAUCUUCCUGAAACUGGAGAGGGAGAGGCUUACUCCUACUUUCAAACCAAAAACAGAUUUAGACCCGAAAGGAUUUAAAAAUAACCUAAAAAUAAAGUCCCAAAGCUGGCUUUUCUAUGUUCAAUCACACAACACUCGAAACAAUUGUGUGUUGCUUUGAGUCCCAAAUGCUUUAAUUUUUUUAAAGAAUAUGCAGUUCACUUUCUUAUUCCAGCAAACAUCGCAUUUAUACUAUCAAUAUGUCCAGGGUUUACUAAAACUUCAUAAAUGACUCUCUGAUAUUUGAAAGGGCAAGAUUAGAGUGGCUUCGUAUUUCAAACACAUACGUCAAAGAGUUGCGUAACACAUAUGCACAUAUUAAAGUUAUUACAGAUGUGAAAAUCUGCUUUUUUUUCCUGCCAAAGAAACAUGUACUUCCUUCAUGAAGAAUUUCCUAAACAAAUUUUGCCAGUUUAAUUGCCUAUAGAAAUUUAUUUUUAAAACAUUUUAUUUAAACCAUGUAAGUCCCAAGGUAGUCUGUGAACGUGAACUUUAAAGCUAACAUUUUUGUCACUAGUUCCUUUUUGCUAUGUCAGAAAAGAAAACAAUUCACAGCCAUUUUAUUUUUCCAGUUUUUCUCAAGGUUAGAGACUGUCUCAACCUCAUAGGCUCAGAAGAAUGCCUUUAUUUUCCCAUGAAAAGAUAAUCCUGAAGUAAUAUUUGCAGCAAGAGGCCAUUAGGCAAGUGUUGACCCUUUAUGGCUAGUCCAAUUUCCUCUCUAUGUGAGAUAUUAGUAAUUAAAUUCAGAUUUCUGUGUAUUUAUUUUCUUUCCUCAACUCUGUUCAUGGAUGCCAUUUUUAGGUAUCUCUUGCCACUUGAGCAAUCAAUAAGCAAAAGAGAGAUUUGUAAGAGGCCUUAAAAGGAGAGAAAGAGGAUUUUUCUCUUAGGCCCAGUUAUAGAAUCAGUUGUUAUUUUUUGGUCUGCAAUAAAUUUUUCCCAUAUCUGUAUGGGCAUUCCACCCGCGAGUUUCAGUUCUCUUAUUGCUUUUCUAAAUGUCUUGAGAGGUCACUAGAAAAUUAUUACAGUUCAUUAUUAUCCAGAAACUCCAACUUCUGACAUAAAGUAGCAAUUAUUUUUAACUUAAUCACAGACUAACAUAGUUUUGGAUGUUGGAAGAAAUAAUGCUAAAAUUGUAUAGCUCAAAAAAAAGAAAGAGAGAGAGAGAGAGAGAAAGACAGCCUGAAUAUGUCUUGAGUUUGAGAAUUUUUCAAUCUUGCUUUAUUCUCAGGGAUAAUUUUCAAACCUGAAAUUAAAUAGAUCAGUUGAGACAUGGAAUAAGCUUCUAUGGAGGCUCAUUAUAAAACUCAUGUAGAGUCUAAUCAUUCUUCCUAACACUCAUUUUUCCACCCACUAAAUCAUUAGCUUCAUUAACAGUGAUUAAAACUAAACCUCAAUCUGGCAGAGUUGGAUGGAUUCUCACGUCCUUCUAAUGACUAUAGUCUAAAGCACCCCACUGGGAAAGUGAGUGCUUCCUGGAGCCCGUGGACACAGAGGGAAGAG